rnacentral:misc_RNA from 1 species
GUGAAUCAUCGAAUUUUUGAACGCAAAUUGCACUCUCCUCGGAGAGUAUGCCCGUUUGAGGGUCAGCCUAUAAAAAUCGACAUCGUUGCUGUUUCUCGGUGGCGUUCGUCGGAAAUUGGGUCAUCUUAAAUCAUUUUGAUUUAAGCGACUUAAAAUAUUCUUUUGGUUCGAUGAACGUUUCUAGUAUCUAUUUCUUUACACGUUUAAGGUAUCGAUUUUUACUAGACGUGUCCAUCAUAUCGGAUCGUGUGCAUAAUUUUUCAUUAAAUGACCACAGUC